CACGUAGGGCGCGAGCGUUGUCCGGAAUUAUUGGGCGUAAAGAGCUCGUAGGCGGUUUGUCGCGUCUGCUGUGAAAACGCGAGGCUCAACCUCGCGCCUGCAGUGGGUACGGGCAGACUAGAGUGCGGUAGGGGAGAUUGGAAUUCCUGGUGUAGCGGUGGAAUGCGCAGAUAUCAGGAGGAACACCGAUGGCGAAGGCAGAUCUCUGGGCCGUAACUGACGCUGAGGAGCGAAAGCGUGGGGAGCAAACAGG
rnacentral:rRNA from 1 species